AUUGAACGCUGGCGGCAUGCUUUACACAUGCAAGUCGAACGGUAACAGGGUGCUUGCACCGCUGACGAGUGGCGAACGGGUGAGUAAUGCGUCGGAACGUGCCGAGUAGUGGGGGAUAACGCAGCGAAAGUUGUGCUAAUACCGCAUACGUACUGAGGUAGAAAGUGGGGGACCUUCGGGCCUCACGCUAUUCGAGCGGCCGACGUCGGAUUAGCUAGUAGGUGAGGUAAAGGCUCACCUAGGCGACGAUCAGUAGCGGGUCUGAGAGGAUGAUCCGCCACACUGGGACUGAGACACGGCCCAGACUCCUACGGGAGGCAGCAGUGGGGAAUUUUGGACAAUGGGCGAAGGCCUGAUCCAGCCAUGCCGCGUGUCUGAAGAAGGCCUUCGGGUUGUAAAGGACUUUUGUCAGGGAGGAAAUCCCUAGUGCUAAUAACACUGGGGGAUGACAGUACCUGAAGAAUAAGCACCGACUAACUACGUGCCAGCCGCCGCCGUAA
rnacentral:rRNA from 1 species